UUUCCGUAGGUGAACCUGCGGAAGGAUCAUUAAAGAAUUUGCCCCGUCCUCUCGAGGAUGGGUCCUCUUCUAAACCGUGUAUACAUACCUUUGUUGCUUUGGCGGGCCGCCGUCUCGGCGUUGGCUUCGGCUGACUGUGCCCGCCAGAGAACCCCAACUCUUCUGUUUAGUAUUGUCUGAGUACUAUAUAAUAGUUAAAACUUUCAACAACGGAUCUCUUGGUUCUG
rnacentral:misc_RNA from 1 species